CAUUGGUACCAUUCAACGAUUCCUCGACAAUCGGUUUGCCGUCCCGGGAAUGGAUAUAGUAAAAUCAUUUCUUGUUAGCCAAGGGAGCAAAGUAAUAGGCAUAUAAGAUCUCGUGUAUACCAAAGGAUAUGCCACCCCCAACACAUAGAUGGCAACCAGAGUUCUCCAAGUCAAAAGACUGAGCUGCAAAGGAGAAAUAGCGAAGUACGAAGAAACCUACGCCACUAGGACUUGUAUUCCUCCCUAAAAGCUCGUCUCCAAGAAAGCUUCGUAAAAAGAACUUUCUUCCAUCCAUCCGUCAGAAGCCCGCUCAGACAUAGACGGACUUUGGAACUACAUUGAUAGGAGCAAGGAAAAUCUCUUUCAGAUCUCAUGAAUUUCGUCUUCUCCAAUCUCCGAACAUGGGCCGAUCCCCAUG
rnacentral:lncRNA from 1 species